AUGGAAGAACUAGGUCUCAGGGAAGAGGACCUUGAUGAUGUGGUUUUCGAUGAGAAGGAGGCCCCAGCUGAGGCGGCGCGAUGGAUAGCGCUCGUCAGGGUCCACUCCACCAAAACCUACAGCCAGUAUUGGUUCUUCAAGAACAUGCGAGCAGCAUGGGACCUCACCCAGGAAGUUCAGUUCAAACCAUUGGAAGGUAACCUGUCUACGGUGCAGUUUUCAUGCCUGGGCGAUUGGGAAAGAGUAACACGUGAUGGUCUGUGGCACUUCCGGGGGGACGUUGUGAUCCUAAAACCGUACGAUGGCUUGGCAAAGCUGUCUAUGUUGGAAAUAUGCCCUAGAGGCAAUAAUAAAAUGGUUAUUAUUAUAUUUCUUUAUUCAUGA
rnacentral:rRNA from 1 species